GACGAACGCUGGCGGCGUGCUUAACACAUGCAAGUCGAACGAAGUGGCGAACGGGUGAGUAACGCGUAAUCAACCUGCCCUUCAGAGGGGGACAACAGUGGGAAACGACUGCUAAUACCGCAUACGGAAGGAGGGGAUUGCGUCGGAUUAGCUAGUUGGGGGGGUAACGGCCCACCAGGGGGAUGAUCAGUAGACGGGCUGAGAGGGUGAACGGGCAAAUUGGGAAUGGGAACAGGCCCAGACUCCUACGGGAGGCAGCAGUGGGGAAUCUUCCGCAAUGGACGAAAGUCUGACGGUGCAACGCCGCGUGAGUGAUGACGGCCUUCGGGUUGUAAAGCUCUGUUAAUCGGGACGCGGUACCGGAAUAGAAAGCCACGGCUAACUACGUGCCAGCAGCCGCGGUAAUAC
rnacentral:rRNA from 1 species